GUCACCGUGGUGGAAUUGGCAUACACAGCAGCUUGAGGUGCUGCGCCCCAACGGGUGUGAGGGUUCGACUCCCUCCGGUGACA
rnacentral:tRNA from 1 species